AAAAAUGAAAUAAAUUAAGUUUCGGCCUUAAUGGUUUUUGAUUUCAAAACAUUUUUA
rnacentral:tRNA from 1 species